AGCGAACGCUGGCGGCAGGCCUAACACAUGCAAGUCGAACGAAGUCUUCGGACUUAGUGGCGGACGGGUGAGUAACACGUGGGAACGUACCUUUUGGUUCGGAACAACUCAGGGAAACUUGAGCUAAUACCGGAUGAGCCCUUAGGGGGAAAGAUUUAUGGCCGAAGGAGCGGCCCGCGUUAGAUUAGCUAGUUGGUGAGGUAAAGGCUCACCAAGGCUACGAGCUAUAGCUGGUCUGGGAGGAUGAUCAGCCACACUGGGACUGAGACACGGCCCAGACUCCUACGGGAGGCAGCAGUGGGGAAUCUUGCGCAAUGGGCGAAAGCCUGACGCAGCCAUGCCGCGAGAAUGAUGAAGGUCUUAGGAUUGUAAAAUUCUUUUACCAGGGACGAUAAUGACGGUACCUGGAGAAAAAGCCCCGGCUAACUUCGUGCCAGCCGCCGCCGUAACAC
rnacentral:rRNA from 1 species